AUUGAACGCUGGCGGAAUGCUUUACACAUGCAAGUCGAGCGGCAGCGCGGGGCAACCUGGCGGCGAGCGGCGAACGGGUGAGUAAUACAUCGGAACGUACCCAGUUGUGGGGGAUAGCCCGGCGAAAGCCGGAUUAAUACCGCAUACGACCUGAGGGUGAAAGCGGGGGAUCGCAAGACCUCGCGCAAUUGGAGCGGCCGAUGGCGGAUUAGCUAGUUGGUAGGGUAAAGGCCUACCAAGGCGACGAUCCGUAGCGGGUCUGAGAGGACGGCCCGCCACACUGGAACUGAGACGCGGUCCAGACUCCUACGGGAGGCAGCAGUGGGGAAUUUUGGACAAUGGGGGAAACCCUGAUCCAGCCAUUCCGCGUGAGUGAAGAAGGCCUUCGGGUUGUAAAGCUCUUUCGGCAGGAACGAAACGGUGGGUCCUAAUACGAUCUGCUAAUGACGGUACCUGAAGAAGAAGCACCGGCUAACUACGUGCCAGCCGCCGCCGUAA
rnacentral:rRNA from 1 species